AUGUUCGCGCGAUGAACCUUUUGUCGCAGCUGAAGUGUAAAUUAAACAAAGGCAGAAAUAUCAGUAGAAUGUUGUAUUGUCAUAAGUAUCAUUACAAUAACUUAAGCUAGAUUGUUGGUUAUUUAUAUGGGUAAAUUGUCGGUAGGUACAUAAAUAAAAUUGAAUAAAAAUUACACCCUGCCUUAAAAUCUACUAAUCUAAUGUUUUGCCUAUUUUACACAAAAUUAUCAUUAAGAAAAAAAAGAAUAUUACUUAUGCGACAUAAUGUAGUAGUAAUCACUUUAUUGUACACAACAUGGGUUUACAAAAAUAAAUUAGGUACAGUAAUGGAAGUACAAAGGCGAACUUAUCCCUAUAAUGGAUCUCUCCCUAAACUUCGAGUAGAUGAGUGGAAAACUCUAGUCAGGUCAGAUAAACAAACUUACGGGAUGUACAAUAAUUAAUAAAAAUAAUGAAAUAAAAACUGCUAGGACUUACUAAUUAGCCUUGUAUUCCAACGUGUUAAGAUGAACUAGCUCGUCAAGCGACGACUUGUCGAUACAAAGGAAACUAAACUUGCAUAAAUCCUCAACAGUUAUCAUAAGAUAUAACUAAGAAUUAAGAAUAAAUCGAACUUUUAUAUCACAGAUUCUUGACGAUUUCUUUAAUCAAUAUGAUCUAAAUAUGCCUAAUUAUA